rnacentral:tRNA from 1 species
GUUUUUAUAGUUGAAAUACAACAGUAGUUUUUCAGACUACCAGUCUAGGUUAAAGUCUUAGUAGGAACA